rnacentral:tRNA from 1 species
AUUUAUAUAGUUUAAAAAAAACGUAUCAUUUUCAAUGAUAAAAUAAGUAAACCUUUAUAAAUU